rnacentral:rRNA from 1 species
UUUAACGGCUGCNGUAAUAUAACUGUACCAAGGUAGCGUAAUCUCCUGUCUUUUAAUUGAAGACCUGUAUGAAUGGCUUCUCGAGGAUUUAACUGUCUCUACUUUUCUAUCNAUGAAAUUGUUUUCCCCGUGCUAAAACGGGGGAUAUAUUUAUAAGACGAGAAGACCCUGUGGAGCUUUAAGUAACCCAGGAGUGUAUUAAAAUAUACAUUUUUCACCUAAAGCUUACUUUCGGUUGGGGCGACCGUGAAGAAAAAAAGAACCUUCACAAGGAACGGAAAACUCCCAAAACACGAACGACAGUUCUAAUUAACAGAAUUUCUGACCAUCAAGACCCAGCACUAGCUGAUUAAUGAACUAAGUUACCCCAGGGAUAACAGCGCAAUUUUCUUCAAGAGCCCCUAUCGACAAGAAAGUUUACGACCUCGAAGUUGGAUCAGGACAUCCCAAAGGAG